UACAGAGGGGGCAAGCGUUGUUCGGAAUUACUGGGCGUAAAGGGCUCGUAGGUGGCCAACUAAGUCAGACGUGAAAUCCCUCGGCUUAACCGGGGAACUGCGUCUGAUACUGGAUGGCUUGAGUUCGGGAGAGGGAUGCGGAAUUCCAGGUGUAGCGGUGAAAUGCGUAGAUAUCUGGAGGAACACCGGUGGCGAAGGCGGCAUCCUGGACCGGCAUUGACGCUGAGGCGCGAAAGCUAGGGGAGCAAACGGG
rnacentral:rRNA from 1 species